GGAGGAGUGUGGCGUUAGUGUCCCUAACGGACGUUUUCUGAGAUAAUGAGAUCGACAUGCAGGCAAUGAAGGUGCUGACCGAGGCAGAUAAUUUGCAACUUAUUCCCGAAAUCAUCCAUCGACACUCAACGGGAUAUCAUAAUGCCACAAUACCUGAAGGAUAGACACAAAGCUUCAUCCCCAGCCCUUUGUGCUAUCAUUAGGCAGCGCUGAUCUGGAGUCAAGAAAUGCUUUUCCACAACCAUCAGUCGUGAAAGCAGUAGAUGUGUACUACAAGGCACACUAUGUGCUGGACUGCAAAUACCAAGUUCAGUGCCAGGGGUAUGGACUUUUUUUGAAACGUGUGUGCUCACCCAGCAAGGUGUGCAAUCGAAAGAAACCGCCACACUGAGAGGUCUAAUGGCUUAACUUGCACAUUAAAACGUGCUGUAAGUCACUGAAGUAAUGCUGCACCCAUCUAAAAGUAUAAAAGGCUACCUACAAGUUAUAAUUAUUGUAGUCGGUGUGUGAGAGAAUCACAUUAUAAAACUUUGUUUUGAAAAAACAUGUUGU